rnacentral:sRNA from 1 species
GCAUAAAACAUGCAAUUGACCUCAUCAAAGCUGACGGCGUUCUAUAUAGCCGAUUAGCAGGGGCAGUUGCAGACAAAUGUGCAUCUAAUUAUGAUGCAAUUGAUUUUCUGAAAAGCCAUGGUCUGCCGGUCCUAUACGAUCACAGUCACCUGGUCGACAAAUUAGUCAAAAAAGGACAUGUUGAAAUUAUAUUGAGGCGGCUUCAAAAGCGACCUUUAACCAAAUCAACAUAUGUCAAUGAAAUUAAUUCUUUUAAAAGUAUUGUGGAAAGAGGUGUGCCUGAUUUAUUGAAACCCCGAUAUGUCGCCGAGUUGGCAAGUAUUGAACAUUUCUUAAAAAAUACUUUUGAUACGUUUCCGGAGCGGACGGUGACCCUCCAAUGGGUGAACUCUGAUGUAUUUGAAAGCAUUGGGUCUUGCAGUAUUGGAGGAAUACUGCAAGAGGCUGCUAAUGAAGGUUUUGAGAAAUUAAAUGACAAGAUAUGACUUAUUGACGGAUCACAAACCUUACGAUCGAGGAGAGAAGAGGCAACAACCUACUCAGCGACUGGCAAAAGAGAUGGAAUAUUGAAGUUAAUAAUGAGAAGUCCACCGCCACCACAUUUUCUCUCUGCCAA